rnacentral:rRNA from 1 species
CCUACGGGUGGCAGCAGUGGGGAAUAUUGGACAAUGGGGGCAACCCUGAUCCAGCCAUGCCGCGUGUGUGAAGAAGGCCCUCGGGUUGUAAAGCACUUUCAGUGAGGAAGAACGCCUGGUGGUUAAUACCCAUCAGGAAAGACAUCACUCACAGAAGAAGCACCGGCUAACUCCGUGCCAGCAGCCGCGGUAAUACGGAGGGUGCGAGCGUUAAUCGGAAUUACUGGGCGUAAAGCGCGCGUAGGUGGCUUGAUAAGCCGGUUGUGAAAGCCCCGGGCUCAACCUGGGAACGGCAUCCGGAACUGUCAAGCUAGAGUGCAGGAGAGGAAGGUAGAAUUCCCGGUGUAGCGGUGAAAUGCGUAGAGAUCGGGAGGAAUACCAGUGGCGAAGGCGGCCUUCUGGACUGACACUGACACUGAGGUGCGAAAGCGUGGGUAGCAAACAGGAUUAGAUACCAUUGUACUC